rnacentral:tRNA from 1 species
GGGGGCCCUUUGGGCCUGGAGCGCACGGUUCGGGACCGUGAGGUCGAAGGACCCAAAGGGUAGCCUUUGGCUUUCGAGUCCUUUCGUCCCGACCA